UAUGCACGCUGGCGGCGUGCCUAAUACAUGCAAGUCGAGCGAACAGACGAGGAGCUUGCUCCUCUGACGUUAGCGGCGGACGGGUGAGUAACACGUGGAUAACCUACCUAUAAGACUGGGAUAACUUCGGGAAACCGGAGCUAAUACCGGAUAAUAUAUUGAACCGCAUGGUUCAAUAGUGAAAGACGGUUUUGCUGUCACUUAUAGAUGGAUCCGCGCCGCAUUAGCUAGUUGGUAAGGUAACGGCUUACCAAGGCGACGAUGCGUAGCCGACCUGAGAGGGUGAUCGGCCACACUGGAACUGAGACACGGUCCAGACUACUACGGGAGGCAGCAGUAGGGAAUCUUCCGCAAUGGGCGAAAGCCUGACGGAGCAACGCCGCGUGAGUGAUGAAGGUCUUCGGAUCGUAAAACUCUGUUAUUAGGGAAGAACAAAUGUGUAAGUAACUAUGCACGUCUUGACGGUACCUAAUCAGAAAGCCACGGCUAACUACGUG
rnacentral:rRNA from 1 species